rnacentral:ncRNA from 2 species
UUUCAUAGUAUUGAGAUAGGUGCCCGACAAGGGCUUAAUAGGGAAGUCCGGUGUAAUGCCGGCGCGGUCCCGCCACUGUAGUAGAGAGCGAAUCCGAAAUAUGCCACUGAGACAAGCUGUCUUGGGAAGGUUUGGAGGAGCGAUGAUCUAGAGCCAGGAGAACUGCCUAUCUAACAAUCACCGU